UUGGAGGGCAAGUCUGGUGCCUAGCAGCCGCGGUAAUUCCAGCUCCAAUAGCGUAUAUUAAAGUUGUUGCAGUUAAAAAGCUCGUAGUUGAAUUUCGGGAUCAGAGUGUCGGUCGUGCCUCGGUACGCACUGGUAUUAUUGGUUCCUACCUUCUGAAGAACCGCGAUGUCAUUAAUUUGGUGUCGUGGGGAAUCAGGACUGUUACUUUGAAAAAAUUAGAGUGUUAAAGCAGGCUUACGCUUGAAUACAUUAGCUUGGAAUAAUGAAAUAGGACGUUUGAUUCUAUUUUGUUGGUUUCUAGGAUUGACGUAAUGAUUAAUAGGGAUAGUUGGGGGCAUUAGUAUUCAAUUGUCAGAGGUGAAAUUCUUGGAUUUAUUGAAGACUAACUACUGCGAAAGCAUUUGCCAAGGAUGUUUUCAUUAAUCAAGAACGAAAGUUAGGGGAUCGAAGACGAUCAGAUACCGUCGUAGUCUUAACCAUAAACUACGCCGACUAGGGAUCGGAUGAUGUUAAUUUUUUAAUGACUCAUUCGGCGCCUUACGGGAAACCAAAGUGUUUGGGUUC
rnacentral:rRNA from 1 species